rnacentral:lncRNA from 1 species
GGGGUUUUCCUUAAUACUCUAAUGACUAUUCAAUCUCACUUAGAGAAGAUUGGUUCAUGUGGUGAGAGUAGUAGGAGGUCCUAGUCUUGGUUGUCUCCAUUUUAUAUAGGCCAAGGUGAGUGAUAACGGACUAACCUUGUGGUGGUAGGGUGGAACCCAUAGCAAUUGGCUUUGCAAAGUAGUAGAGGCCACCACAAGUGCAUAACCCGCCAUAGCUCGAUAUUCAUUCCGGGUCCGGACGAGUCUAAGUCUAACACUACCUAAUAAAACUAUAACUCAUAAUUUAUUAAAGUCGUCCUUCUAUGAUUGCAAUUGCUUGUAUGACUCUUUUACUUUGUUCAAUUUAAAUUGAUUUGUAUUCUUUUGAAUUCUAGCUUACCCUUGCUUUGUUUGNUGUCUGUCUUGUUUGUGCUUGUUUUCUUUUGCAAUGAUCAUCCUAAUUGGAUGUGAGCAGAAGUUUCAGAGGCCCCACUGGAGCAGCUACUAGACGUUCCAGAUGUUCCUGAUACUGNUGAUGAUGCAGAGUAGUAUAGUUUAGUUAGAUCUAUUGUAUAUAACUUGGUCUUCUUUCCUUUUCUUCUUUUUGAAAGACUCUAUGCUGUUAUGUAGAGCUUAUAUCAUAUUUUGGAUGACUGUAUUAUAUACACUUCAUCUGCUACUACUCUUAACUGCUUUCUAUUAUUAUAAUAUGUUGCAUUCCACUUGAUAUGAAUUAUAC